AAUCGUCAAUUUGCUUCUGUGCCUA
rnacentral:piRNA from 1 species